AGUGAACGCUGGCGGUAGGCCUAACACAUGCAAGUCGAACGGCAGCACAGUAAGAGCUUGCUCUUACGGGUGGCGAGUGGCGGACGGGUGAGGAAUACAUCGGAAUCUACUUUUUCGUGGGGGAUAACGUAGGGAAACUUACGCUAAUACCGCAUACGACCUACGGGUGAAAGCAGGGGAUCUUCGGACCUUGCGCGAUUGAAUGAGCCGAUGUCGGAUUAGCUAGUUGGCGGGGUAAAGGCCCACCAAGGCGACGAUCCGUAGCUGGUCUGAGGGGAUGAUCAGCCACACUGGAACUGAGACACGGUCCAGACUCCUACGGGAGGCAGCAGUGGGGAAUAUUGGACAAUGGGCGCAAGCCUGAUCCAGCCAUACCGCGUGGGUGAAGAAGGCCUUCGGGUUGUAAAGCCCUUUUGUUGGGAAAGAAAAGCAGCAGGUUAAUACCCCGCUGUUCUGACGGUACCCAAAGAACAAGCACCGGCUAACUUCGUG
rnacentral:rRNA from 1 species